UUAGGUGUGGAUACCUGACGUUGUGAUUGUGAAAGUCGUUGUAGAAGCAGCUCGUGCUUGUGCUCGUGUUUUUCUUAUGUGCAUAUUUUUAUUUUGUAUUCUAAUAGUAUAGUGUUGCUCUUCGCAUACGAAUACUUUACGUUAGCUGACAGAAACUGGAAUUAAUCUGUAAAAAAUGGAUCGAAAAAGAGUUUUGAAAAACACAAUCGCCGUAGCUUGAAAAGGGUCUCGCUGAGAAAGACAAGAUUAUACAAGAAACAAAAGAAAAAAUUCGUGAGUGUAAAGAAAGAGCUGAGAGAGCGGAACAGGAGACGAAGCGGCUAAGAGAUCUUUACGAUUUCGAAGUUGGGCGGCAACUGAAAAAGUCUAAAAAGGAAUCUGACAUGCCUGAAGUGAUUCCUGACGCUGACACUCUACUAGCCUCACUGCAAGAACUAUCACUGAUCGUUCUCACCCGAGAAAUAUGGCACGCUGAAAUAAAUAAAUAUCGCGGUAUAAUCGAACGAUUUCGUCCAAACUGUAAACGCAUUUCAUUAAAGUCCAUGCUUCCUGAAAUGCCCAGCGUUAUUUUCAACCGGAUCGAAGAAUAUGUGAAAACAUUUGGGCUUUCGUUGAAAGCUUGGCUACGUAGGCAUUACACCACUGUAUUCUGCAUAUAUCAUAAUCAUCAAAACCAUAUGUUGAGUCAUUUCGACGAUUUCGUUAUCCAGCACAACGGCGCUAUUGAUUUUACAAAAACAGCUCAACGAAUGAUUCGUUGUGAUCGAUUGAGUGUGGAGCAAAAGUUUGUAAUUGCUCAUACGUAUUCGUUCGAAGACGAUGUCAAACGAAUGUGGCCAUUUGUGCGUGAGAAACGAAUAGACUCGACGAAAUUGAGUUUUUCUGAUUUGAUGAGCUUGGAAAGCAGGUGGAGUGAUCUCGUAUCUAUGGAUAUUCAAAGUAAUCUUCAAAGUAAUAUUCAGCAUAUGCAUAAUAACACACGAAGUGUUAAGAAUGAAUGCAAUACACACUAAUUACUGACACUAUGAAGGAAUGAAGCAAUGACUAUCAAUGUCAUCAAAAUCAAUCAUCGAAUAGCUGUCUAAGUAGUGUUUUCAAAAACCCCUCUGGUUUCUCAAAAUUCAAAAAUAUUCCUUCAAAACCAUUUUUUUAUUCUGGUGAUUUGAAAAAUAUGGGGUAUGCAAGUUUUAGCAAACAAACUAAUUUUUAUGUUGGAUCAUAAUUAUAUUUUUUUUAUAAAGUGCCUAAUCAAUAUGUAAUCACUUAUCACAUACUCUAAAUUUUGCCUUGCUUACGAGGAAAGUCUCCCAACCGGCACAAAAAUUUUUGAACCCGAUGGAGAAGAAUCGAUAGAAGAUCUCAAAAUAUAUCACCAGCCAAAAUUUCAGGUUCUGAAAUUCAUUUUUCGAUUUACUGUAAAUUUUUGAAAAUGCAAAUUCGGGUCAAAGUUUCAGAAAAUUGACCUAGAAAGCUAAAAUUUGGUUUAAACUCUAUUUUUAACCUGCCGAGUCGAUUGGUGAUGGUUUCGAACCGUUCUGGAACCUCCAGCGGAUUUUCGGUUUCUCCAGUUUUAGAAAAAACGCUGUAAUAGGUAGGUAUAGGUAUGAGUUAAAGUGAAAUCCAGCAUCUAUAAACUCAGAGUCACCAUCUAUGCACCUUUUUCGAUCGAUUUAGGCACGUAUUAUCUAAAUCUUUUUGUGCUUGUCCAAAUUUAAAAUUCUCUCCAGUGAUCAUUUGUGGAAAAAAAGCAAAAAUCGUAGUUGUGAACGCGAGAAGGAAGAAAGCUGAAAUUUGGUUUAUACCUACCAUAUUUUUGAUUUUUCGAGUCAAUUGGUGACGGUUUCGUACCAUUCUGAAACCUCCAACGAAUCUGAUUUUUUUUACAGAUAAUCACUGUAGAAAAUUUUUGGAUUUGAACCAACAUAAUUCAUGAAAAUAGGUAUGUAUUUUAAUAAUGCGUGCCUAAAUAGAUCGAAAGGGCCACACAGAUAGUAAAUUCGAGCUUCAAAGAACUGAAUUUUAUUUUUAUCCUUAUACUUACAGCGGUUUUUCGAAAACUUAAAAAACAAACCUAAAAUCAGCUGAAGGCUCCAGAACAGUUGGAAACCAUCUCCAAUCGACUCGACAGGUCAAAAAUAGGGUAUAAACCGAAUUUCAGCUUUCCAGGUCAAUUUUUUGAAAUUUUGACUUUUUAUAAAUUUUGGCCUGAAUUUCAAUUUCGAAAAAUUUGCCAAAAAUCGAAAAAUAAAUUUCAGCUUCAGGAAUUUUAGCUAGUGGUUAUUUUGGGGCCCUCUUUCGAUUUCUGAGACUGUUUUUGAAGUAAGUACCUAUUUUAAUUAAUAUGUGGGUUGAGCGCCUUGAAACCUACUGAAGGAGGAAUUGAAUUGAAUGACCCACAUUUCGAAGAUGAUGAAUCAUUGUUUUAUUGCCUGUUGGGUUAAUUCUUGCGGCUUGUACAUAAACUAUUCAUAAACUAUACUCGUAAUUAUUUAAUUAAAUAAAUCUUGGGUUAGUUUAGGUCUUAAUAUAAACGCAUUAUUUUUACAAUCGAUAUUAUUUAUGUAAUGUACACAUGUACUAUGUACUUAUUACUUGUUAAUAACUAGGCCUAUACGUUUAAACUUAAUAAAAUCAGUAUUUUCUGCAUUUUCAAAUAUUUUGUUACAUACUUAUGUUAACUUACCUACCUUUCUAAUUCAAAAUUUUCAAUACCAAGGGAAUGAAAAAUUUGAAAAUUUAAAAUCAAGUUUGCCCUUUCAAUUUUGAAGAUAGGCAAUUUGUCAAAGCACUAUUUUUUGUUCGUCCACUCGAAUACUAUUGGUUAUGGGCAUCAUUUGAAUGAUUCGAAUGAUUCAAAUAUUUCAAAAAUGGUAAAUUUCGAGGUUUUACGAAGCACGUAGCUCCUUCAAUUCACAAGAUGGACAACCAGUUAUAAUAAUAUUAAUCCAUUAUUCACUAAUCAUCUGAUUCGUCUUUACUAAGUUUUGUUAUGUUAUGAGUGCAGGUUCUUUAUGUAAAUUCGUAAGAAUGUAUUUAAUAAAAUGUUUCA